AUCAUAAUCAAAUCUUUAAUUAUGAAAUUUCUUGCAAUGAAUUGUUUAACAAUCAAAUUACCUGACAAUGUAAAUGUUCGUAAAAUGAUCAUGCUAUUGGAAGUUUUAUAGAUUUUGCAUUUUGCACAUUGCCCACUCUAACGGGUAUUUUCCUCAUGUUUAACGAGAAAAUUUUAGUUAGGAUCAUGGCCGGUAUUAGCAAAUGUGGGGUAUGGGGCAAAGAUAAAUGUAGUAAUUAUUGUCUGGGGUUGAACAAUAGGGCACGAGCAAACUAAAAAAUAUACCUUAUCCGCCAGGGGUGUGACUCACUGUCGCUUGGGCUAAUAUCAGUAUGGAUUGCUUACAGGCGUUAGUAUCGCUUAAAAUUCGGUCAACUGUUGUCUCACGCCAGCGUAUUUUUUAGUUAUUUUAAUAAUAUUUCAUCUUUACAAAUUGCAAUAUUGCAGUAUUUAUAAGUUGUAACAUAGUUAUUCAUUAUUAUUAUAAUUAUACAUAUGCCAUCUUAUUGUGUUGUAUUGUAAUGCUCGAGAGGAGGAUAAUUACCUUUAAAUGAAGGUACAUGUCUUAAAUGGUAGAUUGUUCUGAGACAAGAAGACGAUAAUGGUUCACUUUUGAGACCAUCAGCAUACCUGUAUUGUGCGAAAAACACUUCAAGCCAGAAGAUUUCCGAGUUCCAAGACAAACUUUAGCUUCCGUGUGAGGAAACGAGAUGAAGUCCCAUCUCUUUUUUCUUGGUCACAAGUAAGUAAAAAUCCAGUUGAGGAAGUUUUCGUUUGAUCAACAUUGAAAAUGGUGCAAAUUUAAGAAUGGUAACAUAAUUAAUAUCGAUGACAACAGCAAGAUCAUGACUCCUGAUAAACACUUGGAAGUGUAAACGAGAAGGUAUAGACUGAGAACAUCAACGAGGGUAUUUUAACUCUAACACAAGACAAAGAUAACCAAUCAGAUCUGUUUACCACAAAAGAGCAAUAUGUUCAAACUACUUGGAACAAAAAGAACUCCUUUAACCUAAGUUCUCGAUCCGAAAUUUUAUUAAUAAUCUCUUUAUUAAUUUAUCUAAUCUAGAUGAAUAAAAUACUAUAUAUCCUGGAAAUAUUCUAUAGAAGGAUAUUAAAGUUUCAUUUUAAAUCAGUAUCUGUGGUUUAGUAAAAGAAAACUAGUAAAUCGCACAUCUACAUGCCAGAGGACUUUAAGGUCGAAAUUCCCAAAUACAAGAAUGAUCUUGGAUCUUAUCAAUUUUUCAUCAAAUAUUUAAAAGAACUGUUGUAACCCUCGUCAUCAAUUUCCUGAUGCCCCUCAUCUUCCUAAAUUAUGAAAUUGUAUGCGUAGUAUGGAAAUCAAUAUUUUUUACUAAUUUUCAAUAAUAUUAUAAUAUUCAAACAAGGACUUCAAAAGUUAAAAUUAUUUUAACUUUACAUUAUUAUUUUUUAUAUUACAUGCGCUCGUACUGAUUGUAAGUUUUAUAUGAAGUGUAGCAAUAAAUGUUUUAAUUAAUCAAAA
rnacentral:lncRNA from 1 species